rnacentral:rRNA from 1 species
GAUCAACGCUGGCGGCGUGCAUGAGACAUGCAAGUCGAACGAAGGAUCGGGCUUGCUCGAUCCUUAGUGGCGGACGGCUGAGUAACGCGUAGGUGACCUACCCCGAAGUGGGGAAUAACUGCCCGAAAGGGUGGCUAAUACCGCAUGUGGUCGCACGUUCAUUCGUGCGAGUAAAGCCGCAAGGCGCUUCGGGAGGGGCCUGCGUCCGAUUAGCUCGUUGGUGGGGUAAUGGCUUACCAAGGCGACGAUCGGUAGGUGGUCUGAGAGGACGAUCACCCAGACUGGGACUGAGACACGGCCCAGACUCCUACGGGAGGCAGCAGUCGGGAAUUUUGCUCAAUGGGGGAAACCCUGAAGCAGCAACGCCGCGUGAGGGAUGAAGGCCUUCGGGUUGUAAACCUCUUUUGUCAGGGACGAUAAUGACGGUACCUGGCGAAUAAGCCACGGCUAACUACGUG